rnacentral:tRNA from 1 species
GGGAUUGUGACUCAGAGGGAGAGCGCUCGCCUUGCAUGCGUGAGGAACUGGGUUCAAUCCUCAGCCCCA